UAAGGAAUAUUGGACAAUGGGCGGAAGCCUGAUCCAGCCAUGCCGCGUGCAGGACGAAGGCGCUCAGCGUUGUAAACUGCUUUUGGACGGGGACAAUAAUCUCGACUUGUCGGGACUUGAGGGUACCGUCAGAAUAAGCACCGGCUAACUCCGUGCCAGCAGCCGCGGUAAUACGGAGGGUGCGAGCGUUAUCCGGAAUCACUGGGUUUAAAGGGUGCGUAGGCGGCCUGUUAAGUCAGUUGUGAAAUGC
rnacentral:rRNA from 1 species